rnacentral:rRNA from 1 species
AAACUCAAAUGAAUUGACGGGGAGCACCACAACGGGUGGAGCUUGCGGUUUAAUCGGACUCAACGCCGGGAAACUCACCAGAUAAGACAGCUGAAUGAUAGUCGGGCUGAAGACUCUACUUGACUAGCUGAGAGGAGGUGCAUGGCCGUCGUCAGUUCGUACUGUGAAGCAUCCUGUUAAGUCAGGCAACGAGCGAGACCCACGCCCACAGUUGCCAGCGUACUCCCUGGAGUGACGGGUACACUGUGGGACCGCCGCUGCUAAAGCGGAGGAAGGAAUGGGCAACGGUAGGUCAGUAUGCCCCGAAUAUCCCGGGCUACACGCGAGCUACAAUGGUUGGUACAAUGGGUAUCUACCCCGAAAGGGGACGGGAAUCUCCUAAAACCAAUCUUAGUUCGGAUUGAGGGCUGCAACUCGCCCUCAUGAAGCUGGAAUCCGUAGUAAUCGCGUUUCAACAGAACGCGGUGAAUACGUCCCUGCUCCUU